AAACAUUAAUUAAUAUACGUAACUAAUGCACAUUUGAAAACAUUGUUGUCGGUUUCCCAUCAAGGCCGAGGGGGCUAGGGUUUCUUUCAGACAAUCGAAGGCCCAAGGUUAGGAUCUCUCUAGAAAAUCAAGGCCCAGGGCUAGGGUUUCGAUAGAAAACCAAGGCCCGAGUUUAUGGUUUGCUAGAGAAACUUUUGCUUCUGUCUGUUUCUAGGAAUUCAUUUCUACUUACUUUCGCGCGAUCCGAUCUUCUAGAGAAAGACAGAUGCUAGCUUUCUGAGAAUUACUAGCAUCGUUUGGGUUUAGGGCUCUUGGAUGGCAAAGGAGAACGAAGCGGCUUCGCAGGCCACCGUCAAUGGCGACAAUACACUCACGAGCUCUCUACGAUGCCGUCCAUAGGGAUCGCAAGAGGAUGUGUUUUUGCUUAGGAAAACGACGGUAAUGGCGAGAAUGUACGAGGUCUCGAUGUUGCCGUCCGAGGGUUCCUCAUUCUCGGCGUGAUAAUAGACUUGUGUUAAUAAGGGAUAUCUAAAACCAGAGGCUACGAGGAUUUCGCCUCAAAUUUCCUUUUUGUUUUUUUAACUAAUUUGAUCUAAUUUCAAUCAAAACAAGUCUGUAUAAUAUCAAUUCUUUUAUUUUUUUUAUUUUGAUUAAAUUCUUUUAUUUGAGUGA